rnacentral:rRNA from 1 species
UACGUAGGGUGCGAGCGUUGUCCGGAAUUAUUGGGCGUAAAGAGCUUGUAGGCGGUUUGUCGCGUCUGCUGUGAAAUUUCGGGGCUCAACCCCGAACUUGCAGUGGGUACGGGCAGACUGGAGUACUGCAGGGGAGACUGGAAUUCCUGGUGUAGCGGUGGAAUGCGCAGAUAUCAGGAGGAACACCGGUGGCGAAGGCGGGUCUCUGGGACGGUACUGACGCUGAGACGCGAAAGCGUGGGGAGCGAACAGG